rnacentral:rRNA from 1 species
AGUCGAGCGAUGAAACUACUUCGGUAGUGAAUUAGCGGCGAACGGGUGAGGAACACGUGAGGAAUCUGCCUUCUACACUGGGAUAACUCCGGGAAACCGGGGCUAAUACCGGAUAUGAAACUUGGUGGCAUCACCGAGUUUGGAAAGUUUUUCGGUAGAAGAUGACCUCGCGGCCUAUCAGCUUGUUGGUGAGGUAAUGGCUCACCAAGGCGACGACGGGUAGCCGGCCUGAGAGGGCGACCGGCCACACUGGGACUGAGACACGGCCCAGACUCCUACGGGAGGCAGCAGUGGGGAAUAUUGGGCAAUGGAGGAAACUCUGACCCAGCGACGCCGCGUGCGGGAUGAAGGCCUUCGGGUUGUAAACCGCUUUCAGUAGGGAAGAAGCGAAAGUGACGGUACCUACAGAAGAAGCACCGGCUAACUAUGUGCCAGCAGCCGCGGUAAUACAUAGGGUGCAAGCGUUGUCCGGAAUUAUUGGGCGUAAAGAGCUCGUAGGUGGUUCGUUACGUCGGAUGUGAAAAUCUGGGGCUCAACCCCAGACCUGCAUCCGAUACGGGCGAGCUAGAGUUUGGUAGGGGAGACUGGAAUUCCUGGUGUAGCGGUGGAAUGCGCAGAUAUCAGGAGGAACACCAAUGGCGAAGGCAGGUCUCUGGGCCAAUACUGACACUGAGGAGCGAAAGCGUGGGGAGCGAACAGGAUUAGAUACCCUGGUAGUCCACGCCGUAAACGGUGGGCGCUAGUUGUGGGAACCUUCCACGGUUUCUGCGACGCAGCUAACGCAUUAAGCGCCCCGCCUGGGGAGUACGAUCGCAAGAUUAAAACUCAAAGGAAUUGACGGGGCCCCGCACAAGCAGCGGA